rnacentral:rRNA from 1 species
GGGGCGUAGCAAUACGUUCGCUGGCGACCGGCAAACGGGUGCGGAACACGUACACAACCUUCCUUAAAGUGGGGGAUAGCCCGGGGAAACCCGGAUUAAUACCCCGUAACAUAGUGAAGUGGCAUCGCUUUAUUAUUAUAGCAGUAAUGCGCUUAAAGAUGGGUGUGCGACUGAUUAGGCAGUUGGCGGGGUAACGGCCCACCAAACCUACGAUCAGUAACUGGUGUGAGAGCACGACCAGUCACACGGGCACUGAGACACGGGCCCGACUCCUACGGGAGGCAGCAGUAAGGAAUAUUGGUCAAUGGACGCAAGUCUGAACCAGCCAUGCCGCGUGGAGGAUGAAGGUCCUCUGGAUUGUAAACUUCUUUUACCUGGGAAGAAAUCCACAAAUUCUUUUGUGGUUGACGGUACCAGGUGAAUAAGCACCGGCUAACUCCGUGCCAGCAGCCGCGGUAAUACGGAGGGUGCAAGCGUUAUCCGGAUUCACUGGGUUUAAAGGGUGCGUAGGUGGGUUGGUAAGUCAGUGGUGAAAUCUCCAGGCUUAACUUGGAAACUGCCAUUGAUACUAUCAAUCUUGAAUACCGUGGAGGUCAGCGGAAUAUGUCAUGUAGCGGUGAAAUGCUUAGAUAUGACAUAGAACACCAAUUGCGAAGGCAGCUGGCUACGCGGAUAUUGACACUGAUGCACGAAAGCGUGGGGAUCAAACAGGAUUAGAUACCCUGGUAGUCCACGCCCUAAACGAUGGAUACUCGACAUACGCGAUAUACUGUGUGUGUCUGAGCGAAAGCAUUAAGUAUCCCACCUGGGAAGUACGAUCGCAAGAUUGAAACUCAAAGGAAUUGGCGG